rnacentral:rRNA from 1 species
AUGGGGACGCUCGUCUGGCUGAGGCCGAUCGCGGCCCCGGCCGUCCCCGCCGGUCCCUCCGCCGCGCACGUGGUGGCUGGCGGUAGUGUAAAAGGCCGGCCUCGGCGGGUGUCCGUGGCGUCCCGCUGCCCGAAUCCGCGCGUGCUCCAGGCGGGGAGGUGCCGGUGGCUGGUUGUCAGGUCGGGUGUCACCGCCGCUGCAGCCGCCGCAGAUGACCCCGAGGAUUCGUCGGGGCUAUCAGAUCUGCAAGUGGCUUCGAGGAUCAGAGGGGUCUUCUUCUACACGGUGACUGCUGUUGCGGCGAUCUUUUUGUUUAUAGCUAUGGUUGUGGUUCAUCCACUUGUGCUCUUGUUUGACCGACACCGUAGGAGAGCUCAGCACUAUAUUGCAAAGAUUUGGGCUACUUUGACAGUUUCUAUGUUCUACAAGCUUGAAGUCGAGGGAAUGGAGAAUCUACCUCCCAAUAGUAGCGCUGCUGUCUAUGUUGCUAACCAUCAGAGCUUCUUGGAUAUCUAUACCCUUCUAACUCUAGGAAGGUGCUUCAAAUUUAUAAGCAAGACUAGUAUCUUUAUGCUUCCAAUUAUUGGGUGGGCAAUGUAUCUCUUGGGUGUCAUUCCUUUACGACGUAUGGACAGCAGGAGCCAGCUGGACUGUCUUAAACGGUGUGUGGAUUUGUUGAAAAGGGGGGCGUCUGUAUUUUUCUUUCCAGAGGGGACUCGAAGUAAAGAUGGAAAGCUAGGUAUAUUCAAGCGAGGAGCAUUUAGUGUCGCUGUGAAGACUGGCGUUCCUGUCAUACCUAUUACCCUUCUCGGGACAGGGAAACUGAUGCCUCCUGGAAUGGAAAGCAACCUUAAUUCAGGUGCAGUAAAAGUCAUUAUUCACCGUCCAAUUGAAGGGAAUGAUGCAGAGAAAUUAUGUUCCGACGCAAGGAAUGUGAUAGCAGACACUCUUCUUCUACAUGGUUAUGGAGUGCACUAA